UGGGGAAUAUUGCACAAUGGGCGAAAGCCUGAUGCAGCAACGCCGCGUGAGUGAUGAAGGUCUUCGGAUUGUAAAGCUCUGUCUUUUGGGACGAUAAUGACGGUACCAAAGGAGGAAGCCACGGCUAACUACGUGCCAGCAGCCGCGGUAAUACGUAGGUGGCGAGCGUUGUCCGGAUUUACUGGGCGUAAAGGGUGCGUAGGCGGAUGUUUAAGUGAGAUGUGAAAUACCCGGGCUUAACUUGGGUGCUGCAUUUCAAACUGGAUAUCUAGAGUGCAGGAGAGGAGAAUGGAAUUCCUAGUGUAGCGGUGAAAUGCGUAGAGAUUAGGAAGAACACCAGUGGCGAAGGCGAUUCUCUGGACUGUAACUGACGCUGAGGCACGAAAGCGUGGGUAGCAAACAGGAUUAGAUACCCUGGUAGUCCACGCCGUAAACGAUGAGUACUAGGUGUAGGAGGUAUCGACCCCUUCUGUGCCGCAGUAAACACAUUAAGUACUCCGCCUGGGGAAGUA
rnacentral:rRNA from 1 species